UGAGGAAUAUUGCACAAUGGGGGAAACCCUGAUGCAGCAACGCCGCGUGGAGGAUGACGCAUUUCGGUGUGUAAACUCCUUUUAUGAGUCAAGAAAAUGACGGUAGCUCAUGAAUAAGCACCGGCUAACUCCGUGCCAGCAGCCGCGGUAAUACGGAGGGUGCAAGCGUUACUCGGAAUCACUGGGCGUAAAGGACGCGUAGGCGGGAUGCCAAGUCUGAUGUGAAAUCCUAUGGCUUAACCAUAGAACUGCAUUGGAAACUGGUAACCUAGAGUAUGGGAGGGGGAGAUGGAAUUAGUAGUGUAGGGGUAAAAUCCGUAGAUAUUACUAGGAAUACCGAAAGCGAAGGCGAUCUCCUGGAACAUAACUGACGCUAAGGCGUGAAAGCGUGGGGAGCAAACA
rnacentral:rRNA from 1 species